rnacentral:rRNA from 1 species
AUUGAACGCUGGCGGCAGGCUUAACACAUGCAAGUCGAACGGAUGAAGGGGGCUUGCUCUUGGAGUCAGCGGCGGACGGGUGAGUAAUGCCUCGGAAUCUGCCUGGUAGUGGGGGAUAACGUCCGGAAACGGGCGCUAAUACCGCAUACGUCCUGAGGGUGAAAGUGGGGGAUCUUAGGACCUCACGCUAUCAGAUGAGCCUAGGUCGGAUUAGCUAGUUGGUGGGGUAAAGGCUUACCAAGGCGACGAUCCGUAGCUGGUCUGAGAGGAUGAUCAGUCACACUGGAACUGAGACACGGCCCAGACUCCUACGGGAGGCAGCAGUGGGGAAUUUUGGACAAUGGGGGAAAGCCUGAUCCAGCCAUGCCGCGUGUGUGAAGAAGGUCUUCGGAUUGUAAAGCGCUUUAGGUCGGGAGGAAGGGCAGUAAGCUAAUACCUCGCGGUGUUGACGGUACCGGAAGAAUAAGCACCGGCUAACUACGUG